GGGCCCGUAGCCUAGCCUGGAUAGGGCACCGCAUUAGAAUUCAAGAAUUUUAAGGUGCGACUCCUAACAGGUUAUUGCUGGUAGCAAGGCGGUGGUCGAGGGUUCAAAUCCCUCCGGGCCCG
rnacentral:tRNA from 2 species